UACGUAGGCAGCGAGCGUUGUUCGGAAUUACUGGGCGUAAAGAGUGUGUAGGCGGUGCUCUAAGUUCGGUGUGAAAUCUCCCGCUUAACUGGGAGGGUGCGCCGGAAACUGGAGUGCUCGAGCAUGGGAGAGGAAAGCGGAAUUCCUGGUGUAGCGGUGAAAUGCGUAGAUAUCAGGAGGAACACCUGCGGUGUAGACGGCUUUCUGGACCAUUGCUGACGCUGAGACACGAAAGCGUGGGUAGCAAACAGG
rnacentral:rRNA from 1 species